GUUAUAUAAAUUGUGCCUUACCAGAAAAGGUCCAGAGAUCUACUAUGAGCAACCUUGAUGGAGAACUCCACAUCUACAAGGAACUACAGUCUCUCCAUGAGGGAAACAGAAGAGAAAAUUCACUGACGUCCAUUCAGCCGUCAUUACAGAUACAGAAGGACCUCAAGAGAACAACUGUGCUUUUCUUAUUUGUGACAGUCUCUCAAGAUCGGAGGGAAUCAGGGUGUAAGAGUGUUCCAUGGAAAGACAAUUGGUAAUAUUCAACACUGAGGCAGCCAAAGUUGAAUUCUGACCCCUAGUGAAGAAUAGAAUGAAAUGAGGACAACUGAGGUACUUCAUGUGCUUUGCUGAAUGAAUAAAAGUAUAAACGUGUGAAGGCUUGCUGAAUAA
ensembl:lncRNA